GGGCGCCGUUGGGCGAUACGAGACGUCGUCCACCCGCGGGCAGCCCCAAGGUGAUUUUGACCUUUCUCGCUACCGCGAGCUGGCCGGAGGCGGACCCCGCCGAAUUUUGGAUUAGCCCCAGGUUCAACAGCUUAUCUUUCUGAACCUGUCGCGGAGGAGCGGGGCCCGCCGAGGUUCUGUGCCCUCGUCGCCCGGCCGCGUACGGGGCCAAGAUGACGUGCCCGGCCGCGGCCCGGCCCGGCUAGAUUGUCACCCGCACCACACCCCGCCGCCGGGACUUCAGACAGCUGAUAAGUGUCUCGGGUACCGCCCUCUCUGACAACGAAUUAGUUAGCAACAUUUUAAUCUACUCCAGCACUUUCUGUAUCUUUGUACUCUUAUCAGGGGAUUGAUUUGAAUGUGCCAUUCUUAAAUGUUCCUUAAUUUUUUUUAAUUGUACACAUUGUUUCUAUACAACUGAAUCAUAAGCUUGUUUGCAUUUAGGAAUUGGAAAACCUGAGAUCUCAUUUGGACUUAGAAAAUCUCUUCAUAUGUAUGAUUUCCUCCGUGUUCACCAUACCUGUUUUAGCUUCCUCACGUUACUCUAGCUCCCAAGAACAACUUUACAUUUCUGUUUCAAGAAGAUUGAAAAUAUCCAACAUCACCAAAAAAAUAACCUGAACAUCCAGCCUUUGAAGAGAAGUUAUGGUGUGGAUAUCUUCAACACAGUGGACGGUACAGAUUCCGAAGAAGCAAAACUCUAAGUGAUUAAGGAAAUAUAUUAUCUUCCUAUUUCAUGAAACUCAGUUGUAUUAAGUUUUUGCAUAAAAACAUUUUUAUUAUAUUUCUGUGUACUGGCAAUAAACAAUUCAAAUCAUAAAAUU
rnacentral:lncRNA from 1 species